AACUCCAACAAGAAGUUGUGACACUGUAGGUACGUCAAGCAAGUUCAGGCGUCCCUCUCUGCUGGAGCUUAGCAAGGGGGUCCACCGGAUCUAAUUGGAAACUUCAAGUUUCUAUCUGUUUACAAAGGAACUUUUGUUCCUUUUCUCUCAUCGCCCAGCCUCGGGCAACAAUUUUUCCUCGUACCAUCGAGAAGCCGGGCUGUCACUGGCCCUGAUAAACCCAACAAAGAAGAAAGUCAAGUGAACAUGAACAGCCAGUGUAAAGAAACAUGCCCAACGUUUCAACCCUUGCUGGGAAUCAAACCUGGACCCUUGCUGUGUGAAGCGAGAGCUUUAGCCACCAGGCCAUGGGGCACCAUGGCCUGGCACCUUCACUUCUGCUGAGCACAAGCCAGAAGUGUCCAAAUCCCUAGCACCUACUGUACAUAUGAAAUGACUACAUUGCGAUGUGUCCAUAUUAACUGUCAUGUCCGAAACUCUGAAGAUACACCAGUGGAGCUAAGGUAGGAAUGUUUCUCUUUGUCCAAUUUGUGUAGUCAGCAUAACAUAACAUUCUCCAGUGUAAACAAUAUAUAUGUUGAUGUUUGCUGUUUUUGUCAAGACACUUUCAUUUGAUUGCAUCUCAGAUUUAAAACUGUUCACUCCUAUAUGAGAGUGGUGAUAAAAUAAGCAUCAAUUAAGUUGAAGAUUGAGACACUAAUGUACAUUGAUGGACUGAACACAUCGACUCCAGGCUGAGGGACUGAUUACCUCAAACUCCUCCUCUCCUUACGCCUUUCUACUUUGUAUUGGGCUGAUGAAGCCACUGUGUGGCGAAACGUUUCCUGAAUAAAGAUUCCCAUAUGUUGCAUAAGUGUCUCAAUCUUCAACUUGUCGGUUUUUCAAACCAUUCAUCACAUCAAUUAGGUUCUCGGUGUUGUGAUGGUCUAGAGCAGUGAUUUCCAAAGUGGGUGGUACUGCCCCCUGGGGGCAGUGGAAAGAUCCAGGGGAGCAUUGAGGAAAAAGGGGGUGGUAGGGGGGUGGCACACAAAAGUUAUGUGGUUGUCAAAGGGAAACUUCCUGAGAUGUUUCUAUUCACUUUUUAAAGCAGCUGUUGAAUUCUUCAGACAUUUUCUGUUCAGGUUACAGUUAUUCAAAUGUAACAUAUCCUUCUGUGAGCUCUUCCUGUUUCCAAGCCUCUCUGAAUUGUAGGAGAAGAGCAUACCAGACGAUGACCUUCAUGUGUAUUGUGCACACCUAAAUGAACAGCAUAGAGACAUGUCUGACAAAUUUUAGGAUCUUUUUUUGCUUAAAAUACCAGACUGGGUGAUCAAUCCAUUCCUAGAUAUCAGCAGUGAGGAAACAGAAAUGAUGGAGGAAGAAUUGAUUUCACCCCAAAAGGACAUUGAGCUGAGACCAAAGUUCAAAAAAAAAAUUGUAUUUAGAUUUUUGGUUACAAAAAAGAACAUUUCUGACCACUACCCUGCACUGUGGAACAAAGUCAAGAUGUAUUUUAUUGCCUUCCCAACAUCAUAUAUAGUAGAGCAAAGCUUCAGUGCAGUUGCCAAACUUGUUACCAAGCAAAGAGAAAGACUGAAAAUUACUGAAUGUGGGGAUCUAAGACUUCUUAGUGCCUUCAUGCCUGCUGUUGAGAAGCUGAUGUCCCUGCGCCAAGCACAUCCAUAUCAUUGAAAUUGUGAAGACAGUGUAGUUACAGAUGAGACGUAAAUUUACUCUUUCAUGUUGUUAAAUAAAUUGGUUUAAUAUGUUAAUUUUUAUUUGUGAAAUAAUACACUUGCUUAUAGUGUUUGAUUAAUUGUUUUUAAUUUGCAGUAAACCUAAUAGCAAGAAAGAGGUGUACAGUGGACCCCCGGUUAACGAUAUUUUUUCACUCCAGAAGUAUGUUCAGGUGCCAGUACUGACCGAAUUUGUUCCCAUAAGGAAUAUUGUGAAGUAGAUUAGUCCAUUUCAAACCCCCAAACAUACACGUACAAACGCACUUACAUAAAUACACUUACAUAAUUGGUCGCAUUCGGAGGUGAUUGUUAUGCGGGGGUCCACUGUAUUUGUAUGUGUGUGGGAGGAGGGACGCUAGGGAUGUGGCUUGGAAGCCAAGGGGUAGGCAACCUGAAAAAGUUUGGUAACCACUGGUCUAGAGCAUCAAAAGUUUAGCUGACUUCCUGGGGCAGCCUAAAGUCUUGGAUUUGAGUUUCAGCUAGUCAUAGUAUUGUUGUUUGCUUGAAAACCACUUAUUUUAGUGGCUGCAUAUGCUGAGUUUAAGAAGAAGUUUUAGAGUGAGAUCACUAAGUUGAGAAAGGCUAGGGAACCAACGAGUUUAAUAAUUAAAAACAAGAGAGAGUAUUACAGUGGCCCCUCAGUUAACGCCAAAAACCUCGGUUAAAGACAAUCGUCCCAAACGUGUCCGUGCGGAGUGAGCGCCUGUACACUCCAUUUACAUGUACAGCCAGUGUACCAGUGUUUACAAGCCAGUGAGGACGAUUCCACGCAUACAUACGAUACAUUUUGUAUUAUUCCAUUGUUUUUAGUGCUAGUAACUGCUAAACAAGCCACCAUGGGCCCAAAGAAAGCUUCUAGUGCCAGCCCUUUGGUAAAGAGGGUGAGAAACACUAUAGAAUUCAAGAAAAAGUUUGUAGAAAGAUAUGUAAGUGGUGGUGGUAGUAUGGGCCAACAGGUUUGCUGCAGUGAUCCUGCUUUUUUAUGUACACCAGCCAGGGUACUUCCCCACAUAGCAGCCAGGGUACUUCCCCACACACCAGCCAGGGUACUUCCCCAAAUACCAGCCAGGGUACUUCCCCACAUACCAGACAGAGUACUUCCCCACACACGAUUUGAUUUGAUUGGUACUUGUGCAUGAGUGAAUAGAAUUAUCGAAGCUUAUUGCUUGGGAAGCAUUGAAAAUUGGGUUGGGCAAAUACAAUUCUGUUAGUGGGAUGGUUUGUGAAGGACCUGCCUAGUAUGGGCCAACAGGCCAGCUGCAGUGUUCCUGCUUUCUUAUGUGCAAACAUUUAUGGAUAAACAUCACCCUGACACAGCUGUUGCAGGCUGUGCUGGCAACAUUUACAAUGACAAUGUUGUGUCCCAUUUUAGGGAAAACUUAGAGAUGACAGAAACAGAGCUCUGUGGACAGAUUUUUGGUGCGACAGGGGUCCAGUGACUCUCAAGCUGGUCCUAGUGGCAUUAAAAACCAAAGAAGGGAGGUAACCCCAGAAAAGGACUUGUUACCUGAAGUCUUUAUGGAAGGGGAUUCCCCUUCCAAACAAUUGUAAACUCCUCCAUCCUCUCCCCUCCUCCCAUCUCAUCACUCAUCAAUACAUCUUCAAUAAAGGUAAGCACCAUUUUAUUAUUUAUUUAUGUAUUUAUUCUGCAUGUCUCAUUGUUUUCUGUGUAGGGAAAUGUAUAUUUCAUGUAAAACAAAUUUUUUUAAUACUUUUGGGUGUCUGGAACAGAUUAAUUGGAUUUCCACUAUUUCUUAUAGGGAAAAUUAAUUCGGAUAACGACAGAAUCGGUUAAAGACAAGCUCUCUGGAAUGCAUUAAUGUCGUUAACUGAGGGUCCAGUGUAUUAGAUGGGGAGGUGGAGGUACUGGGAAGAUGGAGUGAAUAUUUUGAAGAGUUGUUAAAUGCUCUUGAAGAAAGGGAGGCAGUGAUUUCAUAAAUUAAGCAAGGAGUAAAAAAGAGCCAAAUGUAAGUGUGGAGGCAGUUGUUAGAACGAAAAGGGUCAUCUCCCACCAAGGUAGGACGACCCUCCCCUCACACACACACACAAAAAAAUUUAUUAAUGUCUUGCCAUAAGCAUGCUGACAUCAGUUUAGAUGAACCUCCAAACUCCAACAUCCCUACACCUUCUUCAGAGUGAAGGCACUGUAAUUAUAGUGCUAACUGGUUUUCACGAAUCCCUUUAUAAAUAUUACCUUGUUCACACUCCAACUGUGUGUUAAAUCAUAAAAUCCACUUGUCCCCACUACUGUCUAACUUGCUCACACAAGCCUUUUGGAUGACCAAAACCAUAGCCCUCAAAACUUCCCUUAACCCCUCCUUUCAACCCUUCCUGGGAUAACUCUUAACCCUCCUCCCCUCCACCCCAGAUUUAUAUGCCUUUAGUCUUUCUGUUUUGCUUUAUCCUCUCUGUAUAUCCCAACCACCUCAACAACCCCUCUUCUACCCUCUGAAUAAUACUUUUAGUAACCCAACACCACCUAAUCUCCAAGCUGUGAAUUCUCUGCAUAAUAUUCAUGCCACACAUUACCCUCAAACAUAAGGUUUCCACUGUCUCCAACCUUCUUGCUAAUAAUAAUAAUAAUUCUCCAUGGGGAAGUGGAACAGAAUUCUUCCUCCGUAAGCCAUGCGUGUUGUAAGAGGUGACUAAAAUGCCGGGAGGAAGGGGCUAGUAACCUCUUUUCCUGUAUAUAUUACUAAAUUUCAAAGAAGAAACUUUCAUUUUUCCUUUUGGGCCACCCCACCUCGGUGGAAUACAGCUAGUACGUUGAAAGAAUAAUAAUAAUAAUAAUAAUAAUAAUAAUAAUUAAAUUAAGUGCUAAACGUGAAAGGGUCCCACAGUGCUGCAGGUAGGGAUGAGCUAAAGGAGAAAUAAGCAGAGGUUAGGAGAGUGAGGGGGCAAGAGUUUACAAGGGUAAGGGGUUAGUUGGGUUAAGGGAAAGUGCAAGAGGUCAAUUAAAAUCAAAGUUGGUGCAAUAAGUGGUCGAGGUUAAUGUCAGUUAGGGAGUUGGAGAUGUCAGAAGUGAAUUCUGCAUACCCACUGAUAAACAGGACAGUCUAUUAAAAUAUGGUGAACUGACAGUGCAUCCUGACAGUCUUUGCAGAGCAGUGCUGGGCAUUUCUCCAUGAGGUGUCCUACCUGCAACAUUUAAAACCAAUGUCUCACACCCAUAUAACAGUAUUAGUACUACUAAACUCGGGUACAUUCCCUAUUUUGUCUCCACAAAUUCCUCAGUACACGACCCACUUUUUUUUCACUUCAUCUUUUACAGACCCAUCUGCUGAUUAGCCUAAUACCAAAUGUCUAACUUCAUUUGCUUUCUCCAUACUCUGUCCCUCCAGUCUGAAAUUCAAUCUUUCAUUGAGUAAAUUUUCUGUUACUCUCAUUACCUUGCUCUUUUCUAUUUUCACUUUUAAUUUCCUUCUUUUAAAUACCCUCCCAAAUUAUCUACCAACCUUUGCAGCUUUUCUUCAUAUCCUCAGCAAAAAGCAGUUGUGACAACUCUUAUUUUGUAUUAGAUUCACUAUCUUUUAAUCCCAUGCCUCUCCCCAGCACCCUAGUCUUCACUUCCUUUACAACCCCAUCUACAAAUGUUUACCAUGGUGAUAUAAGAACAUAAGAAUGGAGGAACACUGCAGAAGGCCUACUGACCCAUACAAGGCAGGUCCUUAUCAAAAUGACCUCUACCCAAAGCUACCCAAGAAUUUACUCCGGUACCCAAUGGUACAAAUCAAACCCAGCCCCUCCCACUCAUAUAUUUGUCCAAUCUCUUUUUAAAGCUGCCUAAAGUCCUAGCCUCAAUCACCCUACUGGGAAGAUUGUUCCACGCAUCCACAACUCUGUCUACUUUUAGUAGACAGUAAUCUUCCUCUCAUACAUACCCUAACUUGAGCCUCACUUUCCACAUAGAAACUCUUUACCACUUUUAACAACCUACCACCAAUUCCAUACAUUUGCAACAUCUGCUUUCCUAUCCACCUUGUCAUAUGCCAUUUCUAAAUCCAUAAAUCCAACAAAAAGUUCUUUUAAACAGUAUAUGCACAGGCUUAUUUCUUUAUGAUUUUCACACUUGCUUUUCUCCUUAUACAAAGAAACCAUGCAUGCUUUUUGGUACUUUCCUCAUGUUUGUACUAUUUAUAUUAAAUAAAUACACCAACCACUCCAAAAUUAAAUCCACACCUUCUCUCAACAUUUGUGUUUUGAUCCUAUCUAGUAAAGCUGCUUCAGCCAUCUUUUAUUCUACCCACUGCCUUCACACUUAAUCUGGUUCUUCCUCACUCCAACAAGAUGUUAUACCUCAUUGCCCAAUUUAUGAAAUUGCUACUGCCCUUUUUUCGUUGACAUUUAGCAAUUCGUCAAAAUAUUCCCUACAUCUUCCCUUCUGAUAAUUCCACUCUUUUGCUUUUUAUUAUAAAAUUUGUUUGUUCCCUAGGCAUUAUCAGCUUAUUUAGUGAAGCUACGAAGACUUAUACAUGGCGAAAGUACAGUGGAACCUCAGUAUUCGAACAGCUCCGUACUCGAACAAUUUGGUAUUCGAAUGCUUUGCUCAGUAAACAAAUCGCUCAGUAGUGUACUGUUUGCUUGGCACUCGACCAAAAAAACACGACCUGCCAAAACUUCACUGUAAACUAUUUUGUGCUUCACAUUUUUUGGUGUUUUUUUACAUUAUUUGUAUAAAUAAGUCACCAUGGGGCCUAAGAGGGUUAGUGAUAACAGCCAACCAAAAAGAAAAUUGGUUGGGAAAAAUUUGUUCUGUACUCGAACAGACUGGCAUUUGAACAGCCUUCUGGAGCCAAUUAAGUUCAAGUGCCGAGGUUCCACUGUACUGUGCACUUUGAGGCAGUGUGCAGGAUCGACUGAGAGAGUGUUUUAUAUACUAUACAUAUGCAGGAAUUGUGAACAAGUGAUAUAAGAUGCAAAACAUCCAUGGGGGGAGUUGAUUGAUAGCUCUAGGCCUUUCGUGGAAAUGAUUUUGCUAGAAUGUGUGUGUAUGUGUGUGUACUCACCUAGUUGAGGUUGCAGGGGUCGAGUCUGAGCUUGCCUCUUCACUGAUCACGCGCGCGUGUGGUGUAUACAGCCUCUCCUCACUUAGUGACAUACUUGUUUACUGAUGACUCGGACUUACGACGGGCCCUCUGACUAGUAUGCAUACCUGAAUAAUGUAUAUUAAAAGCUGAUUUCCUCUAUUCUGUUUAUUACAAUAUACAGUACACUACUGUAUAAACCUUUAAAAAUAUACCAGAAAUGUUAUAAAUGUUGCAAAGGUGACAUUAAAACAAUAUCAAAGAUGGUUGAAACAAACCCACUACCAUUAUAGUACGUAUGUUCCUCACUUAGCGACGAAUUCAUUUACAGAUGUGGUCUUAGGAGCAGAACUCAAUUAAGUGAGGAGAGGCUGUAUAUAUAUAUAUGUCGUGCCAAAUGGGUAAAACUUGCGAUUUUUGGCUUAACCCUUUGACUGUCGCAACCCCCAAUCCUGAGGUGUAUCCUGGUGUCGCAAAAUUUAAAAAAAAAAAAUUAUUUUUUCUUAUGAAAUGAUAGAGAAUCUUUUCCCGAUUGUAAUGACACCAAAAAAAACGAAAUUUGAUGGAAAACUGACGGAAUUAUGCUCUCGCGAAGUUAGCGACCUCGGCGCUGUUUACAAAUCGGCGAUUUCGCCCACUUUGAGCCCUAUUUUCGGCUAAUUCCAUUGUUCCAGUCGCCCAAACUCAUAGCUAUUUCUUUAGAACUUCAUUUUUUCUAUCGAUUGAGUACAAGAAACUGCCCAUUUACUGAUUUCAACUACCUAAUAAUGUGGUCAGAAAUUUGCAAUUUGGCCAAUUUCACGAAAACUAAAAAAUAUGACAAUUUCAAAAUAAGGUCCAGAAUGAACAAUGCAGACAUUCCAGGCUCUAAAAUAACGUUUUCUUUUGUUCAUCAGUCACGUCUCCAGGCCCCUCUGAUAUUACUCUUGCUUUCUAUUUUGAAUUUUUAUUCAAACAAAAAAUAUUAGACUUACUAUUAUGCAGACUACUGCAAUGCUGUAAUAACUGUAUAAAUAACAUCAACCCAUUCAUGACUGCAUAUUAGAAUGGCUAGUUGGACAUUUAUUGGACAAUGGCAUCAUUUGUUUACUUUUGAACAUUGGCAAAAAUCAAACAUUUCCCCUAC